rnacentral:tRNA from 1 species
AGCGGGGUUGAGUAAUUGGUCAACUCAUCAGGCUCAUGCCCUGAGGACUGCAGGUUCGAACCCUGCCCCCGCGA